CAGUCGCCGCGGUAAAACGGAGGGUGCAAGCGUUAAUCGGAAUUACUGGGCGUAAAGCGUGCGUAGGCGGUUCGUUAAGUCUGUUGUGAAAGCCCCGGGCUCAACCUGGGAAUGGCAAUGGAUACUGGCGAGCUAGAGUGUGUCAGAGGAUGGUGGAAUUCCCGGUGUAGCGGUGAAAUGCGUAGAGAUCGGGAGGAACAUCAGUGGCGAAGGCGGCCAUCUGGGACAACACUGACGCUGAGGCACGAAAGCGUGGGGAGCAAACAGGAUUAGAUACCCCAGUAGUCCCUGUCUCUUAUAU
rnacentral:rRNA from 1 species